AUUUAUUAGUUUAAUUAAAACAUUACAUUUUCAUUGUAAAAAUAUUAAAAAUUUACUAUAAAUA
rnacentral:tRNA from 1 species